rnacentral:rRNA from 1 species
CGCGUAGGCGGUUUUUUAAGUCAGAUGUGUAAUCCCCGAGCUUAACUUGGGAACUGCAUCUGAGACUGGAAGGCUAGAGUACUGGAGAGGGUGGUGGAAUUCCUCGUGUAGCGGUGAAAUGCGUAGAGAUGAGGAGGAACACCAGUGGCGAAGGCGGCCACCUGGACAGUAACUGACGCUGAGGCGCGAAAGUGUGGGUAGCAAACAGGAUUAGAUACCCUGGUAGUCCACGCUGUAAACGAUGAACACUUGGUGUGGAGGGAGUUCGACCCCUUCCGUGCCGGAGCUAACGCGUUAAGCGUUCCGCCGUGGGGAGUACGGUCGCAAGGCUAGAA